UUUGGCAUUUUAAGGGGUAAGCAUCAAGUUCUGAGAAGAUAUACCUUCUGCCAGAUUAUCAAAGUACUGAUUUUCAACUAGAUACUUGUUCCAAGAAAUACUCAAGACUUCUGAUGAUGACUCUGGUUAUAGAGCCAGUUCCACUGUCUUGGAGAAGGUUGAAGGGAGGAAGUAAUGCAAGUCAUCAGGGACCUUUUUGAAAUCAGAACUAUGUUAGUGAGUCACAGUUGGUGGUUUUUUCCCUCGGACCUCUUUCUAGGAAAAGUGAAUCAACAUCCUUAUAAGAAUAUGGCACUAAUGCAGUUUGGGAAUUUUCUACUGUAAAAGAAAUGCCGAGACCCCUUCCCCACUCACAUAUUGCUACAUUCAAAAUAGGUAAGAUGUUAAUUUUUAUUACUCUGUUUGACUAGGUCGGUUGCUCCUAUUGUAGCAGGCUACGGAGUAAUUUCUGGUCAUUUACCUAUAUUCCUCACUAGACUUUGAGGUCAGAUUCUAGGAUAAUAUUCAUCACAAUUGUAUCAUUAAUAUAUAAUACAAGGCUUGGCAGU